rnacentral:rRNA from 1 species
UACGUAGGCAGCAAGCGUUGUUCGGAGUUACUGGGCGUAAAGGGUGUGUAGGCGGUCGGAUAAGUGUGGUGUGAAAUCUCCCGGCUCAACUGGGAGGGUGCGCUACAAACUGUCUGGCUAGAGUGCGGGAUGGGAAAGUGGAAUUCCUGGUGUAGCGGUGAAAUGCGCAGAUAUCGGGAAGAACACCCGUGGCGAAGGCGGCUCUCUGGGACGGUACUGACGCUGAGACGCGAAAGCGUGGGGAGCGAACAGG